rnacentral:rRNA from 1 species
UGGGGAAUUUUGGACAAUGGGCGCAAGCCUGAUCCAGCAAUGCCGCGUGAGUGAAGAAGGCCUUCGGGUUGUAAAGCUCUUUUGUCAGGGAAGAAACGGUGGACUCUAAUACAGAUCACUAAUGACGGUACCUGAAGAAUAAGCACCGGCUAACUACGUGCCAGCAGCCGCGGUAAUACGUAGGGUGCAAGCGUUAAUCGGAAUUACUGGGCGUAAAGCGUGCGCAGGCGGUUGUGCAAGACAGAUGUGAAAUCCCCGGGCUCAACCUGGGAAUUGCAUUUGUGACUGCACGGCUAGAGUGUGUCAGAGGGGGGUAGAAUUCCACGUGUAGCAGUGAAAUGCGUAGAGAUGUGGAGGAAUACCGAUGGCGAAGGCAGCCCCCUGGGAUAACACUGACGCUCAUGCACGAAAGCGUGGGGAGCAAACAGGAUUAGAUACCCUGGUAGUCCACGCCCUAAACGAUGUCUACUAGUUGUUGGGUCUUAAUUGACUUAGUAACGCAGCUAACGCGUGAAGUAGACCGCCUGGGGAGUACGGUCGCAAGAUUA